UACGGGGGGGGCAAGCGUUGUUCGGAAUUACUGGGCGUAAAGGGCGCGUAGGCGGCUUUGCAAGUGACGGGUGAAAUCCCUCGGCUUAACCGAGGAACUGCCUGUCAAACUGCAUGGCUUGAGACCGGGAGAGGUGAGUGGAAUUCCCAGUGUAGCGGUGAAAUGCGUAGAUAUUGGGAGGAACACCAGUGGCGAAGGCGGCUCACUGGACCGGUACUGACGCUGAUGCGCGAAAGCGUGGGGAGCAAACAGG
rnacentral:rRNA from 1 species